rnacentral:lncRNA from 1 species
GGACUUAGUAUGUGCCUAACCAGGGUCCACCAAGCUUUUUCUUGAAAGUUCAGGCUACCUUUCUUGAUUGAUGAUUCCUCCAACACCACCAAAUACCCAUGGGGACUCUUCCUGAUCUGUAACAAUAAUCCCUACCAUCCACCAGAACUGAACAAGCUUUUCUUUUGAACCUAUUUGUUUAAACUUUACUUUCUUCAUCCCCUCUACUCGGAAUUCUAUCUCCGUGGUGUUUGCCGGUAGUAUAAACUUGGGUCCAUGAAGAAUUUGGG